rnacentral:rRNA from 1 species
CAAAAUGGAGAGUUUGAUCCUGGCUCAGGAUGAACGCUGGCGGUAUGCUUAACACAUGCAAGUCGAACGGUCUUUUCGGAGAUAGUGGCGGACGGGUGAGUAACGCGUAAGAAUCUACCUUCAGGUUGGGGACAACCACUGGAAACGGUGGCUAAUACCCAAUGUGCCGAGAGGUGAAAGGCUUGCUGCCUGAAGAAGAGCUUGCGUCUGAUUAGCUAGUUGGUGGGGUAAGAGCCUACCAAGGCGACGAUCAGUAGCUGGUCUGAGAGGAUGAUCAGCCACACUGGGACUGAGAC